GCAUGCUUUCGGCUGUGGGAUUGAUGGCUGGAACUACAGGAGCUGUGAAAAAAACUCCAGCACUUGCACCUCCGCCUAGUGGAGGUAACAAGAUUAAGUCUCCUCUUCCACCCCCUCCAAAUGAUCCAGCUACUGCUCGGAAGACUUCUACCUCUCCCAGUAUUGCUCUAAAGGAAAACACCAAGCAUUCCACUGAUCCGCUUUCCGAUCUCGCUGAAAUUGAGGUACUGUCUUAUCAUCCUGUUCAAUGCUCCUUGUGAAGGUUGCUCUUUGCAUAUUGCUAAACCUUAAAUCUCAAGCCUUUGUUAGUGCACCUUCAGUCAAGAAGUAAUAGCUAACAAGGACUUUAAUCAACAAAACAUCCUAACAGACCUUUGAUAUUUUUUUAUCCACUUGGCUUUACUAUUGUUGCCUGCUGUGUUUCUGCAAAUACUGAUGACAAAUCUUAUCAUAUCGAAGUGUUGGAAUUAAAAGGUAUCUUCAGUCUGCUAAUUUUACAAAAAAGUUUAUUGGAGAUACCUAUGGAACAUAGGUUGCUCUAUCCAAAAACAACAAAAAAUAUGUUGUCUCAAUUGUUGAUUGCUAUUUAAAGGGAAUAACUUUUGGUAGUUUGGUGUAUAGGAAGGUGAAACAAUCCGGAUAAGUGUGAAGAACAAACCAUCUAGUGGGACAGGCAUGCUUUCGGCUGUGGGAUUGGCGGCUGGAACUACAGGAGCUGUGAAAAAAACUCCAGCACUUGCACCUCCGCCUAGUGGAGGUAACAAGAUUAGGUCUCCUCUUCCACCCCCUCCAAAUGAUCCAGCUACUGCUCGGAAGACUUCUACCUCUCCCAGUAUUGCUCUAAAGGAAAACACCAAGCAUUCCAUUGAUCCACUUUCAGAUCUCACUGAAAUUGAGGUACUUUCUUAUCAUCCUGUUCAAUGCUCCUUGUGAAGAUUGCUCUUUGCAUAUUGCUAAAGCUUAAAUCCCAAACCUUUGUUAGUGCACCUUCAGUCAAGAAGUAAUAGCUAACAGGGACUUUGAUCAACAAAACAACCAAACAGACC
rnacentral:lncRNA from 1 species